rnacentral:rRNA from 1 species
GACGAACGCUGGCGGCGUGCUUAACACAUGCAAGUCGAACGGACAGGCCCUGCUUUUGUGGGGUGCUCGAGUGGCGAACGGGUGAGUAACACGUGAGUAACCUGCCCUUGACUUUGGGAUAAAUUCAGGAAAAUGGGGCUAAUACCGGAUAGGAGCUCCUGAUGCAUGGUGGGGGAUGGAAAGUUUCGGCGGUUGGGGAUGGACUAGCGGCUUAUCAGCUUGUUGGUGGGGUAGUGGCUUACCAAGGCUUUGACGGGUAGCCGGCCUGAGAGGGUGACCGGCCACAUGGGGACUGAGAGACGGCCCAGACUCCUACGGGAGGCAGCAGUGGGGAAUAUUGCACAAUGGGCGGAAGCCUGAUGCAGAGACGCCGCGUGCGUGAUGACGGCCUUCGGGUUGUAAACCGCUUUCUCCUGUGACGAGGCGUGAGUGACGGUAAUGGGUAAAGAAGCACCGGCUAACUACGUG